rnacentral:rRNA from 1 species
AACGAACGCUGGCGGCAUGCCUAACACAUGCAAGUCGAACGAAAUCUUCGGGUCUAGUGGCGCACGGGUGCGUAACUCGUGGGAUUCUGCCCUUUGGCUCGGAAUAACAGUUGGAAACGACUGCUAAUACCGGAUGUUGACGAAAGUCCAAAGAUUUAUCGCCAGAGGAUGAGCCCGCGUAGGAUUAGCUAGUUGGUGUGGUAAAGGCGCACCAAGGCGACGAUCCUUAGCUGGUCUGAGAGGAUGACCAGCCACACUGGGACUGAGACACGGCCCAGACUCCUACGGGAGGCAGCAGUGGGGAAUAGUGGACAAUGGGCGAAAGCCUGAUCCAGCAAUGCCGCGUGAGAGAUGAAGGCCGUAGGGUUGUAAAGCUCUUUUACCCGGGAUGAUAAUGACAGUACCGGGAGAAUAAGCUCCGGCUAACUCCGUGCCAGCCGCCGCCGUAAUAC